rnacentral:rRNA from 1 species
CAAUAGCGUAUAUUAAAGUUGUUGCGGUUAAAAAGCUCGUAGUUGGAUUUCUGCCGAGGACGACCGGUCCGCCCUCUGGGUGAGCAUCUGGAUCGGCCUGGGCAUCUUCUUGGGGAACGUGUCUGCACUUGACUGUGUGGCGCGGUAUCCAGGACUUUUACUUUGAGGAAAUUAGAGUGUUUAAAGCAGGCGUUUGCUGUGAAUACAUUAGCAUGGAAUAAUAAGAUAGGACUUUGGUGCUAUUUUGUUGGUUUGUACACCGAGGUAAUGAUUAAUAGGGACAGUUGGGGGUAUUCGUAUUUAAUUGUCAGAGGUGAAAUUCUUGGAUUUAUGAAAGACGAACUACUGCGAAAGCAUUUACCAAGGAUGUUUUCAUUAAUCAAGAACGAAAGUUAGGGGAUCGAAGAUGAUCAGAUAUCAU